AGAGUUUGAUCAUGGCUCAGAUUGAACGCUGGCGGCAGGCCUAACACAUGCAAGUCGAGCGGUAGCACAGAGAGCUUGCUCUCGGGUGACGAGCGGCGGACGGGUGAGUAAUGUCUGGGAAACUGCCUGAUGGAGGGGGAUAACUACUGGAAACGGUAGCUAAUACCGCAUAACGUCGCAAGACCAAAGUGGGGGACCUUCGGGCCUCAUGCCAUCAGAUGUGCCCAGAUGGGAUUAGCUAGUAGGUGGGGUAAUGGCUCACCUAGGCGACGAUCCCUAGCUGGUCUGAGAGGAUGACCAGCCACACUGGAACUGAGACACGGUCCAGACUCCUACGGGAGGCAGCAGUGGGGAAUAUUGCACAAUGGGCGCAAGCCUGAUGCAGCCAUGCCGCGUGUGUGAAGAAGGCCUUCGGGUUGUAAAGCACUUUCAGCGGGGAGGAAGGCGUUAAGGUUAAUAACCUUAGCGAUUGACGUUACCCGCAGAAGAAGCACCGGCUAACUCCGUGCCAGCAGCCGCGGUAAUACGGAGGGUGCAAGCGUUAAUCGGAAUUACUGGGCGUAAAGCGCACGCAGGCGGUCUGUCAAGUCGGAUGUGAAAUCCCCGGGCUCAACCUGGGAACUGCAUUCGAAACUGGCAGGCUAGAGUCUUGUAGAGGGGGGUAGAAUUCCAGGUGUAGCGGUGAAAUGCGUAGAGAUCUGGAGGAAUACCGGUGGCGAAGGCGGCCCCCUGGACAAAGACUGACGCUCAGGUGCGAAAGCGUGGGGAGCAAACAGGAUUAGAUACCCUGGUAGUCCACGCCGUAAACGAUGUCGAUUUGGAGGUUGUGCCCUUGAGGCGUGGCUUCCGGAGCUAACGCGUUAAAUCGACCGCCUGGGGAGUACGGCCGCAAGGUUAAAACUCAAAUGAAUUGACGGGGGCCCGCACAAGCGGUGGAGCAUGUGGUUUAAUUCGAUGCAACGCGAAGAACCUUACCUGGUCUUGACAUCCACAGAACUUUCCAGAGAUGGAUUGGUGCCUUCGGGAACUGUGAGACAGGUGCUGCAUGGCUGUCGUCAGCUCGUGUUGUGAAAUGUUGGGUUAAGUCCCGCAACGAGCGCAACCCUUAUCCUUUGUUGCCAGCGGUUAGGCCGGGAACUCAAAGGAGACUGCCAGUGAUAAACUGGAGGAAGGUGGGGAUGACGUCAAGUCAUCAUGGCCCUUACGACCAGGGCUACACACGUGCUACAAUGGCAUAUACAAAGAGAAGCGACCUCGCGAGAGCAAGCGGACCUCAUAAAGUAUGUCGUAGUCCGGAUUGGAGUCUGCAACUCGACUCCAUGAAGUCGGAAUCGCUAGUAAUCGUAGAUCAGAAUGCUACGGUGAAUACGUUCCCGGGCCUUGUACACACCGCCCGUCACACCAUGGGAGUGGGUUGCAAAAGAAGUAGGUAGCUUAACCUUCGGGAGGGCGCUUACCACUUUGUGAUUCAUGACUGGGGUGAAGUCGUAACAAGGUAACCGUAGGGGAACCUGCGGUUGGAUCACCU
rnacentral:rRNA from 1 species